GACGAAGGGGGCUAGCGUUGUUCGGAAUUACUGGGCGUAAAGCGCGUGUAGGCGGUUGUCCAAGUCGGGUGUGAAAGCCUUGAGCUUAACUCAAGAAAUGCACUCGAUACUUGGUGACUAGAGGACCGGAGAGGAUAGUGGAAUUCCCAGUGUAGUGGUGAAAUACGUAGAGAUUGGGAAGAACACCAGUGGCGAAGGCGGCUAUCUGGACGGUUUCUGACGCUAAGACGCGAAAGCGUGGGGAGCAAACAGG
rnacentral:rRNA from 1 species